CUUCCACCACGUGGCUGCACUGGAGUCUCUCUGAGCUUACUCUGGCUAAGGAGGCUGCCAGAUGCCAGAUUCACAGAUCAUUCUUUGCUCAGUUAAACUCUGUGAAGUUUAAUUUGUCUAAGGCUUUUUUUUUUUUUUAAACAGAUGGUGUCAGAAGUGGGAUCCGAAUUAGAGCUUUCAGUGACCCCCAGGAGCAUCAAGUGACCAAGCGAGGUACCUGCAGGGCCCAUUGUGUCCAUUGCUCUUUCACAGCAACUGGGGAUGAUGUUCCGUCAGCUGUAGUUGAGGAUGCCAAAAACGGGAGCCACUAUCUUGCUACUGUGAGAAAGAGGAUGGGUGGUAUUGGAGGUUGAGUGGACCAUUCCUGUGUUUCUGAAGGGUGAGAGGUAAAGUUUCAUAUUCUUCAUUUUAUUUGCAUCAUUUGCAGAAAUUACCAUAACUACAUAACCAUCAUAUUUAGAACUCCACUAAAAAUUGAAUUGAAAUAUCUCAUUGCUUUUUUCGUACUGGUUUUUAAAAACUCAAACUAAACUAAUUUUUUCCCACUAGACAUCCCUUAUCAACACAUAAUUUGUGCUCAACUAAAGUGAUUGAAGGCUAGGGGUAUGGUGAUAAAGACCAGAUGAAGAAAAAUGAAUUCAUAUCACAAACAUUAAAAAAUGAAUUAUAGGUUAACAACUUUAAAAAAUGUGCUGAAGUAACUUUAUUAUUUCUGGUGGUUGUUAAAUAGUAUUCUUUUAUUUUAAAUUUCAACUUUUAGAUACAGGGGUGCAUGUGCAGGUUUGUUACAUGGAAAUGUUAUGUGGUGCUGAGGAGGUUAACAACUUUUUGAAGAGUGUGGGAAGAAAUACACAAUGACAAGAGCUAUGUUAUAAAAUUCAAGCAUCUGCAAAUUUGUAAGAAAUUAUGCUGUUCAAAAGCUCAAGGUAGUUUUCAAUAACGGCGAGUAGUCAGCUGUGUCUUCAGAACCCACAUGGCAUGAAAGGAUGGCCCAGCAUAGCAGAGACAUUUCCCUUAUUUUGGAUUUAAAAAUAUUUGGCAACCAAUGUAUAUACAGUUUUUACUUUUUUUUCCUAGCUUUAACACUAAAAACUACUGCAAUUUUUAAUUAAUUAGUUAAUUUAUUGAGACGGGAUCUCACUGUUUCCCAGGCUGGUGUACAGUGGUGGUGAUCAUAGCUUACUGCAUCCUCGACCUCCUGGGCUCAAGCAAUCCUCCUGCAGUAGUUAGGACUACAAAUGCACACCAGCACACCUGACUAAAUGGGUUUUUUAGUUUCAUCUUUUAUUUGUGUGCUGGUGCAGUGUGGCAUAGUAGCAGAAAACAUCGCUUCUGGAAUCAGACGUAUCUGGCUGUUCAUGCUCUCAUUCACCAACUGCAUGGCUUUUGGCAAAUGACCUAUGAGCUCUAAGCCUUGUUUCCUGUUCUCUAAAAUGCUAGUCAUAAGGGCAUUACCUCAAAGGGGUUCAGAGGUAAUUUUGGAAGAUAGUAUAGUUCUGGAAACAUGAUAUGCAUUUAAUGGAUUUUUAAAAUUAUUGUUGUCAUUACUACCCUGCCUCUAUUGUUUUUAGAUGCUAUGAUCCUACCACUCAAGUAUAAUGUGGAAAUUAUGAAACUACUGGGCCACUUAUUUUCCACUAAAAGAGACAGACUGUAUUUUCUACUUUCACUGUAGAUUUUGGGAUUCUUUCUCAUGAGACUCCUGUGGUGAACUCUGACUUCUACCCCACUACCCCUUCCUAAGCCUGCUUCUCUUCUGAUUCCUCCAAAUAUGCUCAGCCACUGCCGAGUAGUUCCAGCUUGUGAGUCAUUCAGUUAGUAGGGGGCUGCUUUUAAAUUCAUUUUAGAAGAAGGCAACAUAAAUUUGCUCCCAAAUUUGCAUUCAUCACCAGAGAGAACACCUGAAACGUUAUUGUAUAGAAAAGUUUGGGUUAAGAUUGCAGGUAGUGUGAUCCGGAAGGCAGACUAUCAGGUUUUAAAAGCUUUAGCCAUCAUGCUAAAUUUUUGGCUGAUUACUCUCCUCUGGAUUGUUCGAUUUGAGAUUAAGCACAUAUUAUUUUUUAAUCUGUGGCAAAAAGUCUACCUUAAAAGUUAAUUCUAAUUAGUCUUUUCAUUGAUCCUUGAUUGAAAGUAGCAUCUUAGAUCUAGGAACUCUGAAAUCUAUGUUAAGAUUUUUCUAGUGGAGGACAUGGUUCAAAAACACUGAGGAAUCUGGCUAUGUAACUAUAAAACGUAAAUGAAGUAUUUGGAUCACAAGUGGAAUUAAUAGUCUUAAUAGUUGAACUCAUGAUUUCCACAUCUCAGCCCUACCAGAUAUUCUCUUUCUGCAGGGUUUCUCCAUGUCAUUAAAUGACACCAUCAACCAACAAGUUGCUGUGUUGAAAGAUAGAUAGUUUUGACACCUCCUCUUUCCUCUUUUCUAAAUUUAGUCCACUGUCAUGUCCUAUCAGUACUAUCUCUGGUAUAUAUCUUAAAUUUAGCUACUUUUCUUCAAUUCUAUCAUUAUCAUCACCCUAGUCGAAUCUACCAUCUUAUCCCAUUGCCUUUUGGCAUAGAAUCGCAUUCCCUCUCUUGCUUCCUUCCAAUACAUUCCCUGCAAAGUAAUAUUUAAAAGAUACAAAUAUGAUUAUGUGACUGUCUACUCAAAAUCUUUCCCUGAUUUCCCUUUCCACUUAAAUUACAAAAUUCUUAGCAUGAUCGCAAGCGCUGCAUAUGAUCCUUGCUUCUUUGUCUAGCCUUAUCUUGUGCCACCCUCCAUCCUUCACUGAAUUUUAGUCACAUGAAACUUUCCCUGAAACUCACCAAGCACUUUUCUACCUCAGCAUCUUCCUAUAUGUGGUUUCUUCCCCUGAAAUGUUUCUACUCCAAAUCUUCACCUGGAUAAAUCUGAAGGUAAUUUAUUCUGUCAUAUCUUUGGAGAAGACUUUACUGACAAGUGCCAAUCUAAAUGAAGUCGACAUUAAAACUUCUCUUAGUAGCUUUCCUUGGUUUUUCAUAGUACACAGCACAGUUUGUAAGCAUGUAUUUUUUUGCAUAGAAAAGACAUUUAUGUAAUAUCUCUCUUUUUCAUUAAACAAUAAGGUUCAUGAAAUUUAGGUUCCAUUUUAUCCACUGCGAUAUACUCAGUGUCUUGCCAAUGGCAAGUACUCAACAAAUACUAGUGAAAAAGUAUGAUCUGAUUCUGACUACCUCCUUCUCAUUCCAAUUUUCACUUUCUCAAUUAUCUUCAUUACACUGCCUGUUCGUCUGAAGAAUAAACAUAUGGUAACUAUCAGGGAAAUUUUAAUAUCUAUGUAAAUAAUACUUGAAAGCAAUUUUUAGACUGCAGUUAAAAAUUAUGAGGGCAGAGCAAAAUGGCAGAAUAGAACCCUAUACCAUUUGUACCCCCUGCAGGAAGGCCAAAUUUUAACAACUAUCUGCAUACAGAAAAGCACCAUCAGAAGAACAAAAAAUCAGGUGACACUGAUGGGCUACACCACAAUUCAGCUUAUAAGAACCUGUGGAACCUCUGGCACCUGUGGAAGGAGUCCUGUAGUAGCCGCAAUCACUGGAAGAAAGUAAGAAAUGGUAUGGAUGUUGGCAGAGUGGCCCAAUAUAUGUAAAGUUGCUAUUCAAAGGAAGCUGACUGUCUUCUUAGCCUACAACAAAAUAAGGCAAGUCAGGAUCAUUAGAUUAGGGAAUUUAGAUUUGGUACUACAUGCAAAGAUUAUUAAAUGUUAGACUAUGUUCCUGUGAUAAAUGAUAAUAUUUCUGGUAUGGUUUGAAAUGAAAAAUCUUGAAAGAAUUAAUUACCUUAAGCACAGGAAUCUGAUUUUUCAUUUUCUAAAAAAUUGUAAAAUAAAGGGGUUGUACAAGUAGUCACUAAAGUCCAGGUUUAUAAUUCUGUGUUUCUUUGACAUAAUCUUUGUGGUUUUAGAAAUGAUUUUAUAUUCAGAUGCUAAAUACGAAUGUACUAUUUUUAAUCCAUGAACAAACUUAAACUCCCAUAUACAAUUUUCUUUCUACAUACUUAAGGAUGGAAUAAUCUCCUAAAAUAUGAUAGACACAGUUACAUAAAUUUGGUUAAUAUUUAUAGAUUUGACCACUAACUAUUUCUCUAGUUUUCUUACAUGGUGCUCCUUGAUUUAUAAUAUAAAUUUUGGUUUGCUGGGUGGUAUGUGAAAAAAAUUUCUGUGAUGACAAUGUUGUUUUUAGUAGAUUUGUUUUAAGGGUUCAAGAAUCAUCCCCUGUUGGCAGCUGUUGUAUUAAUAAAGAAUUUGUCUGGUCUUCCUUA